GAGUUUGAUCGUGGCUCAGGACGAACGCUGGCGGCGUGCUUAACACAUGCAAGUCGAGCGAGAAUCUACUGAAAGAGUUUUCGGACAAUGGAAGUAGAGGAAAGUGGCGGACGGGUGAGUAACGCGUGAGGAACCUGCCUUGAAGAGGGGGACAACAGUUGGAAACGACUGCUAAUACCGCAUGAUGCAUAAGGGUCGCAUGAUUCUUAUGCCAAAGAUUUAUCGCUUCAAGAUGGCCUCGCGUCUGAUUAGCUAGUUGGCGGGGUAACGGCCCACCAAGGCGACGAUCAGUAGCCGGACUGAGAGGUUGAACGGCCACAUUGGGACUGAGAUACGGCCCAGACUCCUACGGGAGGCAGCAGUGGGGAAUAUUGGGCAAUGGGCGCAAGCCUGACCCAGCAACGCCGCGUGAAGGAAGAAGGCUUUCGGUAUGUAAACUUCUAUCAGCAGGGAAGAAAAUGACGGUACCUGACUAAGAAGCCCCGGCUAACUACGUGCCAGCCGCCGCGAUAAC
rnacentral:rRNA from 1 species